rnacentral:lncRNA from 1 species
AUACGUUUUACACGGUUACAUUUGCAUAUACUGUAUAUUCCAUACUUUUUGAACCAUGGAUCUCUGACUUGCGCUACAGUUCUUUUCUCUCUCUUAGAGAUUACAGUAAAGUCGAACAUUGCAACAGCGCCCCCUUGUGAUAAUAGAUAAAGGAGUUGGCCUACCCUAGGAGAGAAUGAGAAAAAAAUAGAAUCACGUGGAAAACAAGCCUUAUCAUAUCCGGGGCUGGGCAAAUGGAAAGUUAAAGCGUGGGGAAGUCCCUGAGGAGAGGUUUUAGUUCUCUAAAUUCCUCUCCCACCUUUGUAUCCAUUCACAGAAAUGCCACAGCGCUUGUGAAACACAAGAUUCGUCAUUAGAUUGACAGUCUCAGUAUACUUAGGCAUCCUGGAGCUUCUGAGAAAUACAAACAAAUAUUCAUCAUUGAGCCACCAGGGGGCGGAAGAGGCACAGCGGUCUAGGACAUCACUCUCAAGCGGUCCAGACAAAGCCUGUGGACCACACUGUUUGAUCUUUACCAUCACCGAGCGUCCUUAGCAGUAAGAUGGUGGGGAGGGCGCCCGGUGCUAAACAUGGCCAUGGG